rnacentral:misc_RNA from 1 species
UUGACUUAUUUAUAAAUCACUCAGAGAGGCCAUACAAUUUCAAGAGUUAGAUACCUCCGGCGGGCGCCCGUGAGGGCCGGGGGCCCCGGGAGACCCGGAGCCAACCCGCCGAAGCAACGUUGAAGGUAAGUUCACAAUGGUUUGGGAGUUUUGCAACUCUUUAAUGAUCCCUCCGCUGGUUCACCAACGGAGA